rnacentral:rRNA from 1 species
CAGUAGCCGCGGUAAUACGGAGGGUGCAAGCGUUAAUCGGAAUUACUGGGCGUAAAGCGCACGCAGGCGGUCUGUCAAGUCAGAUGUGAAAUCCCCGGGCUUAACCUGGGAACUGCAUUUGAAACUGGCAGGCUAGAGUCUUGUAGAGGGGGGUAGAAUUCCAGGUGUAGCGGUGAAAUGCGUAGAGAUCUGGAGGAAUACCGAUGGCGAAGGCAGCCAUCUGGCCUAAUACUGACGCUGAGGUACGAAAGCAUGGGGAGCAAACAGGAUUAGAUACCCCUGUAGUCCCUGUCUCUUAUAC